ACUUCGAUAGCUUAUAUUUAGAGCAUGGCACUGAAGAUGCUAAAGAGAUUAAUCAGAUCUCGAAGUA
rnacentral:tRNA from 1 species